GAGGGUAUGGUUCAGCGGUGGAACACAUGUCUAGCAUGCACGAGGGCCAGGGUUCAACUCCCAGUAUCUCCA
rnacentral:tRNA from 1 species